CCAAUAGCGUAUAUUAAAGUUGUUGCAGUUAAAAAGCUCGUAGUUGAAUUUCGGGAUCAGUAUGUUGGUCGUGCUUCGGUACGUACUGUCAUUACUGGUUUCUCCCUUCUGAAGAACCUUGAUGUCAUUAAUUUGGUGUCUUGGGGAAUCAGGACUGUUACUUUGAAAAAAUUAGAGUGUUUAAAGCAGGCAUACGCUUGAAUACAUUAGCAUGGAAUAAUGAAAUAGGACGUUUGAUUCUAUUUUGUUGGUUUCUAGGAUCGACGUAAUGAUUAAUAGGGAUAGUUGGGGGCAUUAGUAUUCAAUUGUCAGAGGUGAAAUUCUUGGAUUUAUUGAAGACUAACUCCUGCGAAAGCAUUUGCCAAGGAUGUUUUCAUUAAUCAAGAACGAAAGUUAGGGGAUCGAAGACGAUCAGAUACCGUCGUAGUCUUAACCAUAAACUAUGCCGACUAGGGAUCGGAUGAUGUUAAUUUUUUAAUGACUCAUUCGGCGCCUUACG
rnacentral:rRNA from 1 species